rnacentral:rRNA from 1 species
UACAGAGGGGGCAAGCGUUAUUCGGAAUUAUUGGGCGUAAAGGGCGCGUAGGCGGCCUGGCAAGUGACGGGUGAAAGCCCUCGGCUCAACCGAGGAACUGCCUGUCAUACUGCCGGGCUUGAGUCCGGGAGAGGUGAGUGGAAUUCCCAGUGUAGCGGUGAAAUGCGUAGAUAUUGGGAGGAACACCAGUGGCGAAGGCGGCUCACUGGACCGGAACUGACGCUGAGGCGCGAAAGCGUGGGGAGCAAACAAG